rnacentral:rRNA from 1 species
AGCAACACCGCGUGAGUGAAGAAGGGUUUCGGCUCGUAAAGCUCUGUUGUUGGAGAAGAACGUGCGUGAGAGUAACUGUUCACGCAGUGACGGUAUCCAACCAGAAAGUCACGGCUAACUACGUGCCAGCAGCCGCGGUAAUACGUAGGUGGCAAGCGUUAUCCGGAUUUAUUGGGCGUAAAGCGAGCGCAGGCGGUUGCUUAAGUCUGAUGUGAAAGCCUUCGGCUUAACCGAAGAAGUGCAUCGGAAACCGGGCGACUUGAGUGCAGAAGAGGACAGUGGAACUCCAUGUGUAGCGGUGGAAUGCGUAUAUAUAUGGAAGAA